UGUCGUCAGCUCGUGUCGUGAGAUGUCGUAGUCGCUACGAGCGCAACCCUCGCUGUGUGUUACAAGUGUCACACGGAACUGCCGGUCAUAAACCGGAGGAAGGUGGGGAUGACGUCAAGUCAGCAUGGCCUUUAUGUCUAGGGCUACACACGUACUACAAUGGCCGGUACAAAGGGCAGCCACUCAGCGAUGAGGCGCUAAUCCCAUAAAGCCGGUCUCAGUCCGGAUCGCAGUCUGCAACUCGACUGCGUGAAGUUGGAAUCGCUAGUAAUCGUAGAUCAGCAUGCUACGGUGAAUACGUUCCCGGGCCUU
rnacentral:rRNA from 1 species